GAUGAACGCUAGCGGCAGGCCUAAUACAUGCAAGUCGAACGGUGUCUUCGGACAUAGUGGCGCACGGGUGCGUAACACGUAUGCAACCUACCUUACAUUGGGGGAUAGCCUUUCGAACGGGAGAUUACUACCGCAUAAGACAGUAGCUGGGCAUCCAGCAGCUGUUAAAGAUUUAUCGAUGUAAGCUGGGCAUGCGUCCAAUUAGCUAGGUGGUGAGGUAACGGCUCACCAAGGCGAUGAUUGGUAGGGGAACCGAGAGGUCAAUCCCCCACACUGGCACUGGGAUACGGGCCAGACUCCUGCGGGAGGCAGCAGUAGGGGAUAUUGGGCGAUGGACGCAAGUCUGACCCAGCCGUGCCGCGUGCAGGAUGAAGGCGUUAUGCGUUGUAUACUGCUUGUAUACAGGAAGAAACGACUCUUGCGAGGGGCAUUGACGGUACUGUAUGAAUAAGCACCGGCUAACUCCGUGCCAGCCGCCGCGGUAA
rnacentral:rRNA from 1 species